UCAUGGGCGCAGGCCUGAACCAGCCAAGUAGCGUGAAGGAUGAAGGCUCUNCCCGGUCGUAAACUUCUUUUAUAUGGGAAUAAAGUUUUCCACGUGUGGAAUUUUGUAUGUACCAUAUGAAUAAGGAUCGGCUAACUCCGUGCCAGCAGCCGCGGUAAUACGGAGGAUCCGAGCGUUAUCCGGAUUUAUUGGGUUUAAAGGGAGCGUAGGUGGAUUGUUAAGUCAGUUGUGAAAGUUUGCGGCUCAACCGUAAAAUUGCAGUUGAAACUGGCAGUCUUGAGUACAGUAGAGGUGGGCGGAAUUCGUGGUGUAGCGGUGAAAUGCUUAGAUAUCACGAAGAACUCCGAUUGCGAAGGCAGCUCACUAGACUGUUACUGACACUGAUGCUCGAAAGUGUGGGUAUCAAACAGGAUUAGAUACCCUGGUAGUCCAAGGGCGAAUUC
rnacentral:rRNA from 1 species